ACAUGCAGGAACAACUAUGAAGAAUCUGAUUGACAAAUCCACUGCCCUCCAACUAAAGAGCUAAUAAAUCCAAACCACUGAGACAUACCCACAUUCAGCUCCACAAUAAUUAGAAUAAUUCAUCUCUUCAUGUUUGAUCUUUAAGUUCAAAUGUAUCACUGUUUUUGUCUCUCUGUUUCUGCUUGAGUGGGUGAGACAGCUAGGAGCAGUGAGUGCAGGACAUCUGCUGGGCUGUUAGACUGCAUAGAGAAGAGAUCAGCUUGGCUGAACUUGGUGUAGGCCUGGGUGAACGUAGGUUGUUGCGGCAACUGGGGAACCAUUGGAGGACUGCAAGACAAAAUAUAAAAAAAGAAAACAGGAAAGAUGGAAAAACAGGAAAGAGUGAAAAAAGAACAGCAUUCAAGAUGAAGUUGUAACCAACCCAGCCUGGUUGCCAUCACUACCAUCAUGACCUGUCUCCACUAAAUAGAGAUUUUAUUUAAAUAAAACCAAAGCAACA